UUUUGUCCUGACAAGGUUGUCCAAGGCUCAUUUGCUGUGACUCGGCCAGCAUCGUGCAGGUCUUAGAAAGAUGCCAGCGUUGAGCCCCUCGUGCCCGGCGUCGGCUGUGGACUGUGCAACGGGGACUAUGCUAGAUGGCUCCAUGGGUGAAGGGGCCAGUGAUUUUAAAGAUGGGAUUCUUCACUCGCACCUGUUCUUCUCCAGCUCUGGUCAUCAGAAUAUCAGGCAUAAGAGUUCAGAGUGCGCUAUGGACAGAGAACGCGAGGCCAUCACGUUCUGCCUCAAGCCCCGCGAUAAAGUAGCCUCCUGUGCUGCCUGCUGAGGAUUAUGGAGAAAGUGUGAGUGCAAUACUAGGUGUUGCCCAGGGAAUACUUGUAAACUUGGUAAGCUCCUGCUGGUUUUUAAUGCUACUUAAGUGGUAGUUAAGAAUCAAAGAGGCUUAUGCACACAGGAUGGAGUUCUCAUUUUGUCUUCAAUAAUAAGUGGUAAACAAUACUGAAUACAGCAGCUAAAUGCCUCUUUAUUAUGAGGCACUGGAAGAUUCAAACCAAAUUAACUGUCGUGUUACACACCGCUGCAUACACUAGUAACGAAGAAUAUUCAUAGAAAAAGCUUCAAAUCUCUUGCUAGAAAAUGGGAAAUGAGGGGAAUCAAGCUGUAGCCUGCAUUUCUAAGAAUAAUCAACAUUAUUUGUAUAAGAGCAAGUAAAAAAGUUACAGUUCUGCACAGGCUUGGGACAGAUGAGAGUAAAAGUCUCUUAACUGACAGAACUGCCCGAUAAUUGACAAUCACUUUCCCAAAGACAGCUAGUAAUGCAGUCUUGCUGGAAUCUGCUCUCAAGUCUGAGAACAUUCGUGCCUUUUGAAGUGAUUUAAGAGGAGCUAUAGAGUCAGAGCUGUCAGAUUUGCAGAUGAAAAGGCAAUUUGACUCCAUAGGAAUGGUAGAAAAAUGUAUCAGUUAUUCAGACGGGGCUUCGGGGUAAUGGUAAGCUGAACAAAAUUGCAAGCUCUGCAACUGCUAGAAUUACAACAUAUCUAGGGACAAAAAGCGUGGCUCACAUGCAACGUGUUGCCAUACUGAAGGGAUUUAGAAGUAAGGACAAAACCAGCUAGCAUGAGCUUCAGCACUGCACUAGGAGACUCAUCACAAAGAUGAGCAGGGGAGAGGGAGUUAUUAGCAGAAAAUGGUAUUGCUUUGAGUAACUUCGGGGGAGCCAGGUAUAAGAAGUGUCUCAUUCGCCUAUCUAUGCAUCAGACAGGAAACAAGUGAAAACAGAUCAGAGGAGAAAGCUAGCAGAGCAAUUUAAGUUCUGAGGAGGAAGA
ensembl:lncRNA